rnacentral:misc_RNA from 1 species
GUUGAGGCGAAGUCGGCGAUGCUGAUCAGAGUUGAAACAGUCGGUGGACGCACCUCCACGCGCUGAUGAGUGAAGAAACGGCGAGAACCUAAGUUGAGCGCGUGAGCUUCACGCGCUUGGAUUACGGCAACCGGAUCAGAGGGGACGGCCAGUCGGCGGCCAAGGUCUCUCCUGAACUGGGUGGUGAGAACAAAUAGCCACCCUAG